rnacentral:rRNA from 1 species
UGCGCAGGCGGCCUGAUAAGUCAGGGGUGAAAUAUGUCGGCUCAACCGGCAAACUGCCCCUGAAACUGCCAGGCUUGAGUCCGGGAGAGGAUGGUGGAAUUCCUGGUGUAGCGGUGAAAUGCGUAAAUAUCAGGAGGAACACCAAUGGCGAAGGCAGCCAUCUGGCCCGGUACUGACGCUCAGGCACGAAAGCUAGGGAGCGAACA